rnacentral:rRNA from 1 species
CCCAGUUCAGAUUGCAGUCUGCAACUCGACUGCAUGAAGUCGGAAUCGCUAGUAAUCGCGGAUCAGCAUGCCGCGGUGAAUACGUUCCCGGGCCUUGUACACACCGCCCGUCACACCAUGAGAGUCGGGAACACCCGAAGUCCGUAGCCUAACCGCAAGGGGGGCGCGGCCGAAGGUGGGUUCGAUAAUUGGGGUGAAGUCGUAACAAGGUAAC